rnacentral:piRNA from 1 species
UCAUCCAAUUCGUUAGAAAAU